GGGAAUUUUGGACAAUGGGCGAAAGCCUGAUCCAGCCAUGCCGCGUGAGUGAAGAAGGCCUUCGGGUUGUAAAGCUCUUUUAGUCGGAAAGAAAGAGUUGCAAUGAAUAAUUGUGAUUUAUGACGGUACCGACAGAAAAAGCACCGGCUAACUACGUGCCAGCAGCCGCGGUAAUACGUAGGGUGCGAGCGUUAAUCGGAAUUACUGGGCGUAAAGGGUGCGCAGGCGGUCUUGCAAGUCAGAUGUGAAAGCCCCGGGCUUAACCUGGGAAUUGCGUUUGAAACUACAAGACUAGAGUGCAGCAGAGGGGAGUGGAAUUCCAUGUGUAGCAGUGAAAUGCGUAGAGAUGUGGAAGAACACCGAUGGCGAAGGCAGCCCCCUGGGCCAAUACUGACGCUCAUGCACGAAAGCGUGGGGAGCAAACA
rnacentral:rRNA from 1 species